AUUGAACGCUGGCGGCAUGCCUUACACAUGCAAGUCGAACGGCAGCACGGGAGCAAUCCUGGUGGCGAGUGGCGAACGGGUGAGUAAUAUAUCGGAACGUGCCCAGUCGUGGGGGAUAACGUAGCGAAAGCUACGCUAAUACCGCAUACGAUCUAUGGAUGAAAGCGGGGGAUCGCAAGACCUCGCGCGAUUGGAGCGGCCGAUAUCAGAUUAGGUAGUUGGUGGGGUAAAGGCCUACCAAGCCUGCGAUCUGUAGCUGGUCUGAGAGGACGACCAGCCACACUGGAACUGAGACACGGUCCAGACUCCUACGGGAGGCAGCAGUGGGGAAUUUUGGACAAUGGGCGCAAGCCUGAUCCAGCAAUGCCGCGUGCAGGAUGAAGGCCUUCGGGUUGUAAACUGCUUUUGUACGGAGCGAAAAGGCUCUCUCUAAUACAGGGGGCUCAUGACGGUACCGUAAGAAUAAGCACCGGCUAACUACGUGCCAGCAGCCGCCGCAG
rnacentral:rRNA from 1 species